rnacentral:lncRNA from 1 species
AGAAAUCUGUCUCCUAUGAUAUGAAGAAAGGAAUACAAAUAAAAGAAUUUCUUGGCUGCUGUUCAUCUUAACGUAUGGCAGUUGUCUGCAACAGAGUAGGUGAGUUAUCUCCUGAGUGAGCUCUUUCUCCCUGCUGAGUAGAAGGGCAUCUGUACAGAGAGGAGAACAGAAAAAGUCAAUUUUUCACAUUGUGCCAAAACUCUUGAAGACUUCAUUGAAAACUGAUUUCAACUUUGGAGGCAAGAGUUGUUCCCAGUGGCCAUUGUACAACUAGAAAUUUUUCUUGUUCCAGCACAGCUGUUUUUUCUACCAAAUCCAUGUGAUUGACCUCUCCUGCUCCCUUCAGAUAGGACUCCUCGUGCACCUCCAUGGAGAUAUCCAGCAGACGUGGGUACUCAUCAGCCCUGGGAAAUGUCACUUGUCCUCAGAUCUCAGAUGUGGCCCAAGGAUGAAAUUAGAAAAGCUAGAAGCGAGGUGGAGCUGUUGAGGGAGUGAAGGCUAAGAAUAAGGAUUUCUGUAGUGUCGGGAGCUGAGUGACAGAUGCACACUGAUGGAGCACAGUGCAUUGAUUUUUGCUGCUGCAGUACUUUAUGCUCAAAGAAAUACAGCUUUUAAAACGAUGGACGACCCCUAUUCAGAAAAAACAGGAGGCUCC